CCUACGGGAGGCAGCAGUGGGGAAUAUUGCACAAUGGGGGAAACCCUGAUGCAGCGACGCCGCGUGAGUGAAGAAGUAUUUCGGUAUGUAAAGCUCUAUCAGCAGGGAAGAAAAUGACGGUACCUGACAAAGAAGCCCCGGCUAACUACGUGCCAGCAGCCGCGGUAAUACGUAGGGGGCAAGCGUUAUCCGGAUUUACUGGGUGUAAAGGGAGCGUAGACGGUUGGGCAAGUCUGAAGUGAAAGGCGGGGGCCCAACCCCGGGACUGCUUUGGAAACUGUUGAGCUGGAGUGCAGGAGAGGUAAGUGGAAUUCCUAGUGUAGCGGUGAAAUGCGUAGAUAUUAGGAGGAACACCAGUGGCGAAGGCGGCUUACUGGACUGUAACUGACGUUGAGGCUCGAAAGCGUGGGGAGCAAACAGGAUUAGAUACCCGGGUAGUC
rnacentral:rRNA from 1 species